CAGCGACGCCGCGUGGAGGAUGAAGGCUUUCGAGUUGUAAACUCCUGUUAAGUGGGAAGUAAAUGUUUCGGGUUAAUACCUCGGGGAAGAUGACGGUACCACUAGAGAAAGCACCGGCAAACUUCGUGCCAGCAGCCGCGGUAAUACGAAGGGUGCGAGCGUUAUUCGGAGUUACUGGGCGUAAAGAGCAUGUAGGCGGUUUAUUAAGUUAGUUGUUAAAUUCCAUGACUUAACUGUGGGCGUGCGGCUAAUACUGAUAAGCUAGAGCAUAGAAGAGAGAAGUGGAAUUCCCGGAGUAGCGGUAAAAUGCGUAGAUCUCGGGAGGAACACCGGUUGCGAAGGCGGCUUCUUGGUCUAUUGCUGACGCUAAAGUGCGAAAGCGUGGGGAGCAAACAGGAUUAGAUACCCUGGUAGUCCACGCUGUAAACGAUGGUCACUGGAUGUGGGUUGGGCAUAGCCUAAUCUGUGUCGAAGCUAACGCGUUAAGUGGCCCGCCUGAGUAGUACGGUCGCAAGAUUA
rnacentral:rRNA from 1 species